UCUGAACUCAGAUCAUGUGAUCUGACUGUGCUAAGGUAGCAUAAUCAUUUGCUUACUAAUUAUAAGCUAGAAUAAAAGAUUUGACGUGAAUUACCCUGUCUCCUGAGAGAUUUAUAAACUUUAUUUUUAGAUAAAAAAGUCUAAGUACCCUUAGAAGACGACAAGACCCUAAAAUCUACCUUUGCACCUUAACCUUUAGGUUGGACUAUUAGGUGUAGGGUUAACUGGGGCGGUUGUGGUCACCCAACCUAAAACUUUACGCCAUAAGCGACCUGAACAAACUUUUUAAAAUAAAAUCAGAUACUUUAGGGAUAACAGCAUAAUUUAUCUUUAGAGAUCUAAUCGACAGAAAAGCUUAUGACCUCGAUGUUGAAUUGAAGCACCUAAUUUAG
rnacentral:rRNA from 1 species